CGUGGUGCAAUGUCGGAGGUCAUGCUACCUCGACAAUGGAGUUGUAUUAAUUUCUCCUGAAAGUGUGACGGUUUUCUGUGGAUCGGCAACAUUUUGAUGUGGAAACCUUGGGUUUUUAUCUUGGUGGUGUUUGAUGUUUUAGGCUGCUCGUUGAGAUCCACCUAUUUGGUUUUGGGUAAGCGCCUAGCGAACGGAUGUUUUUGUACAUAUUCAGUCACCUCGUGCGAAGUCUGGUCAGCCUGUUCCCGGGUUGGGUGACGACGUCACAGUCCUGUCGACAACGUGAAAGCAACGCACAACUAAACUAUGCUUUCAUAUUAAUUAUUGAUCACACGUUGUGACCUAUGGCAUUGUAAUUGUGUUAGUUUUAUUGCUCUGUAGAUUUUUUAUUAAAGGAUUUUGAUUAUCGUGAAAUAAAAAACUGGGUAAUUUGGGGUUUGGGAUUCUCAUUUGUUCAAAAUGUAUUUGUUUUAUAAGAGCAACACACACCUACAAGCACACAUUAUGGUGAAAAUAUAAAUAAAGUUAUUUUUAAAAAGUAA